UAGGGAAUCUUCGGCAAUGGGGGCAACCCUGACCGAGCAACGCCGCGUGAGUGAAGAAGGUUUUCGGAUCGUAAAGCUCUGUUGUAAGAGAAGAACGUGUGUGAGAGUGGAAAGUUCACACAGUGACGGUAACUUACCAGAAAGGGACGGCUAACUACGUGCCAGCAGCCGCGGUAAUACGUAGGUCCCGAACGUUGUCCGGAUUUAUUGGGCGUAAAGCGAGCGCAGGCGGUUUAAUAAGUCUGAAGUUAAAGGCAGUGGCUUAACCAUUGUUCGCUUUGGAAACUGUUAAACUUGAGUGCAGAAGGGGAGAGUGGAAUUCCAUGUGUAGCGGUGAAAUGCGUAGAUAUAUGGAGGAACACCGGUGGCGAAAGCGGCUCUCUGGUCUGUAACUGACGCUGAGGCUCGAAAGCGUGGGGAGCAAACAGG
rnacentral:rRNA from 1 species